rnacentral:rRNA from 1 species
UUGCAGUUAAAAGCUCGUAGUUGGAUUUCUGGCGGGGACCCAAGUACCCCUGGUGGGUGUGCUCGGGCCCGGCCAUCCUUCUGUAAACUUUCGCGCGUCCUUCACCGGUCGGCAAAGGGAUCAGAUAAUUUACCUUGAGAAAAUUAGAGUGUUUCAGGCAGGCUUAGCCGGAAUACAUUAGCAUGGAAUAAUGGAAUAGGACUGAGGUCUCGUUGUUGGUUACGCGGACUACAGUAAUGAUUAAUAGGGACAGUUGGGGGCAUUAGUAUUUAUUAGCUAGAGGUGGAAUUCUCU